rnacentral:rRNA from 1 species
UACGUAGGGUGCAAGCGUUGUCCGGAAUUACUGGGCGUAAAGAGUUCGUAGGCGGUUUGUCACGUCGUUUUGUGAAACAUCACAGCUCAACUGUGAGCCUGCAGGCGAUACGGGCAGACUUGAGUACUGCAGGGGAGACUGGAAUUCCUGGUGUAGCGGUGAAAUGCGCAGAUAUCAGGAGGAACACCGGUGGCGAAGGCGGGUCUCUGGGCAACAACUGACGCUGAGGAGCGAAAGCGUGGGGAGCGAACAGG